CCCUUAGAUGUUCUGGGCUGCACGCGCGCUACACUGACGCACGCAACAGGUGCCUGCUCCGAGAGGACUGGGUAAUCAUUUGAGUGUGCGUCGUGAUGGGGAUAGAAUAUUGUAAUUAAUACUCUUCAACGAGGAAUUCCUAGUAAGCGCCAGUCAGCAGCUUGCGCUGAUUACGUCCCUGCCCUUUGUACACACCGCCCGUCGCUCCUACCGAUGGGUGAUCCGGUGAAUGAUUCGGACUUCAGCGGCUCCCCUGGGGUGCGCCGGAGAAAGUUUUGUGAACCUUAUCACUUGGAGGAAGGAGAAGUCGUAACA
rnacentral:rRNA from 1 species